rnacentral:rRNA from 1 species
AUUGAACGCUGGCGGCAGGCCUAACACAUGCAAGUCGAACGAGUGGCGGACGGGUGAGUAAUGUCUGGGAAACUGCCUGAUGGAUGGGGAUAACUACUGGAAACUGUAGCUACUACCGUAUACCAUCAGAUGUGCCCAGAUGGGAUUAGCGUGUGGGUGGGGUAACGGCUAACCAAGGCGACGACCCCUAGCUGGUCUGAGAGGAUGACCAGCCACACUGGAACUGAGAAACGGGCCAGACUCCUACGGGAGGCAGCAGGGGGGAAUAUUGCACAAUGGGCGCAAGCCUGAUGCAGCCAUGCCGCGUGUAUGAAGAAGGCCUUCGGGUUGUAAAGAACUUUAAGAUGGGAGGCGUUACCAACAGAAGAAGCACCGGCUAACUCCGUGCCAGCGGCCGCGGUAAUUC